CAAAACCAUAACUAAUGUACAAAAUAAUUUUCCGGAGUUGCAAUUUCUGGUAUUGAAUAGAAUUUUUAUAAAAAUUGAACAAAUAAAUUAGCGUUUUCCGGGCACGAUAAUGAAAACUUCACGGCAUCGAAAUAGAGCAAGUCACGGCGUAUAUCUUCCAUUCAUAGAUGUUUUAAACCGUCAAGCGAAUAUAUUAAAAAUCACCGCACUGAGCUGUCAGGCAGCAUAUGCUCGUUGAACUCAGCGUAGUCACCGGCGUGUCAUUUACACACUGUAUAAUUGGCCACGACUUUAAUUAGUCCUGCAGGGUGGUCUGGAGUACACUUUUUUAUUGUGUCAAAGCUCAUUACAGCCAUAUCUCAAGUUCUUGCACAUUCAUUUUAAAAUCUCCAAAUCAGCACCAUCGAUGCUAAAUUAACACUGAUGAAUUGGAAGUGUCGAGCAAAACAAACGGUGAAAAAAAAUAGGUUAACUGCUUAAAUACGCAGAACAUAAUAUGUGUAGUCUUCUUUGAAAUGGUUUUAUGAUAUUCAUCGGCCGAUCGAAUCGUAUAAUCCUUUCGAUGACUUAAGGACCGUGAAUACGAAUGACGUGUGCAGCGCACAGUGGUCCAAUACGGUAAACGAAUAAAUAAAUAAAAAAGAGUAAGCAUUCAAAAUCGGUUUUCUACGCAGUGUGCGUAAAUGGCAUGACAGGACGCGUACCUUAACAAAAAAAAACAAAUUCGGCCGCUCGUGUGGCGCUCUGCCGCGGGAGGCCUGACAAAUUUUUAUGGGCAACGGUCAGGAAAUUUAAUUACGGUAAGCGAUCGGUUCAGGUGCUAUCACGAAUGACCCAUAUAAUAGGGUGAAAAACGAGAGUGGUGUCCUUGAAUAAUCCACGAAAACCGUAACGCCGAGGAACGACAACAAUAUGAUAAGUAAAAAAAUAAGAGACGUUUUCAAAACAGUUUUAAGAUUACACGUGUGCAGGCAAAGGGUUGCACGAGGACAAAAUAGAAGAUCGUGGCGUGACGUACGGUCGUAAAUAUACGGCAGUAGACAACAAUAACAGUAUAACUGUACGCGAAGAUUGCAGCGGACAGUGGUGAACGGAUAUUUACGGCCUUUUUUUCCCCUUUAAAUCCUUUCACCGUGAGGGUGUCGUCAAUAACAAAUCUAUUUUACCCGACCGUUUGGACCUCAGCACAAAUCGUUAACAGUAGGGAACAUUAACCAGAAGACGGUCAUUCCCACGCUCUUCCGGGUUCGCAGUAAGUUUAUGGGCGCACCUCACCUAGUGCUGAUGGAACGUUAUUAUCGCGGGAUUUCAAGAUGGUGGAAGUUCAGACACGGUAUUCGGAUUAACUCGAUUUUUUUAUGAGUACUGUAUAAAUACGCAUGUAACGUGACGAUAGAUGGGCAUGUGCUAUACCUAAUAUUAUUACCUUUAAAAUGAAAACGACAGUGGUAUACGAGUACAAAGCAGCCACCCCCUACUGGUGGGCUGACAACAUUUUUAUAGUGUCGACAUAGUUGACAACGCGUAAAUUAACAAAAUAAUCGAAUAAAAAUGUAAUAAAGCACUAAUAUCAUUAUAAAGCACUCGCACUAAUCAUAUAUGGUUAUAUUUAAUCAGAACUAAUACUCACAGUUGAGCA